rnacentral:lncRNA from 1 species
GAGAAAGGAGCACCAGGCAGGUACCUCUAAAGCAGCAGGGAGUGUGUGACUUCUGAGAAGAGAAAGGGGCAGAUGUACACUGAGGGACUUCAACAUGUGCUGAAACUGUUGCAAGCCAGACUGCUUUCCAGAAGGUUAAGUAAGCCCAGACUGCUGCCAGGAGAGAUCACCUAAUCUGGACAUCUCCUGUGGAAGUGAAAAGGGACUGCUGUGGAGACAACACACAAAGAGCCUUUGUGAUAAACUGUGCCCAGAACAUGAAUACAGCUGCAUGGCUUCAUUGAGGAGACAAAGUCUGCCUCCAGCCAUCCUAGAGGAGCUUUGGAGUCCUGUGGGUACUGGGCUGCUACUACUCUUACAUCAGCUUCACUGCUGACUUCCUAUGUGAUCUUGGAGAAGUUCAUUUUGGACGCAGUUUUCAAAAGCGCUGUUGAAAGUAAGUGAGACUUCUGCUCCUAAGCUCCUUUCAGAGCAUUGUUCUGUGUCUU